UACGUAUGGGGCAAGCGUUAUCCGGAUUCAUUGGGCGUAAAGAGCGCGUAGGCGGAUUGUUAAGUCAGAUGUGAAAACCGGGGGCUCAACCCGCGGCCUGCAUCUGAAACUGGCAGUCUUGAGUCUGGUAGAGGAGUGUGGAAUUCCCAGUGUAGCGGUGAAAUGCGCAGAUAUUGGGAGGAACACCAGUGGCGAAGGCGGCACUCUGGGCCACGACUGACGCUGAGGCGCGAAAGCUAGGGGAGCAAAC
rnacentral:rRNA from 1 species